AAGCACUGCUGCAUUAUGUAUGAGGGGGCGGGGCCUAACCGCCGGAUUUAUUUAGCGAGAGGUCCGAAAGCGGCACCAAACUUUCACUCUCCAGACCACCGUGGCAUCGCAGGCCACCUGUUUCUCAGUGAGAACACGAGGAGUUUCUGUGUGAGACACCAUGGAUGAGGACUUUGAACGCCGCAGAGAGCUCCGCAGACAGAAACGAGAGGAGAUGCAGAAAGAAGCAGAAAAGAUGAGUUACCCAACUUUUGAUGAUGAUGAUGAAGAGGCUGCCCGAGAGCGAAGGAGGCGAGCCCGGCAAGAAAGGCUACGCAACAUGGAGAAUGAGGAGAUUAGCAGCACUGCCACAGAACUCAACAGCAAUUGCAGUGAGAAAGACGCAGGUUUUACAACACUGAUUACAACCCCAGCGUCUAAUGAUGAUGACCAGGCUCUCCUGGAACGGCUCGCCAAACGCGAGGAACGCAGGCAGAGGAGGAUGAGAGAGGCCAUGGAGAGACAGAAGGAGCUUGACCCCACUGCUGGAGAUGCCAAUAUUACUACGACCAGCGAAGACAGACCAAGCCGCAGGAGCCGUCUGAGGGAUGAAGAAGAGGAGUCCACUAACAACGAAGUCAACUCCUUUACGGAGAAGGAGGAAAAGAAAGAGGAGGAGAAAGCAGAGGAGACCAAGGUGGAGGUGCAGGAGGCAGUUGUAGAAAAGGAGGAAUCCAUGUCGCCACCAGCUUCAGAGGAACCGAAAGACACACAAGCAGAGCAGGAAGAGGAGCAGAAAGAGGAGAAGAAAGAGGAGCAGAAAGAGGAGCAGAAAGAGGAGGACCUGAAAGAGAAGCUCCAGAGAUCAGACAUUAGAGAACAGAUUUAUCUCUUACAGGAAUCCACAGAAGAGGAAAACAAAGAAACAGUCUCAAAGAUUGAGGAAGAGAGUGAAGAUCAAGCUGUCAGUAUAAACAAAGUGGCUGAGGAGAAAGCAGAUACAGGUCUAGAGAGUGCAGAUUUAGAAAAGAAAGAGGUUAUAAAUGAAGAUUUGUUACCUAAGGAGCCUGUAAAAGAGGAAGAAAAAGUAGAGGCAGUCAAGGAGGAACCUGUUAUAACCAAGACUAAGAAGGAAGAGAAGCCCGUGGAGAAAGAGGUGGAGGUGCCAGCAAAGAAACCUGAAGAAACACCCGCUGCUCCCAAGACACCAGUUCAAGCUGAACCUCCACUGGAGAAGAAGGAGGUGGAGAAACCGAAGAAAGAGGAAGAGAAACUGCAUAUACCAGAGAAGAAAAUAGAAGUAAAAACAGACAGGUCAAAAAGAGAAGUGGAGGUAAAGGUUGAACUUCCAAAGAAAGAUGUUGUGGGAAAACCUCCGGCGAAAGCUGAAGUUGCAGAGAAACCAGCGGCACCGAAGCAAAUCGAAGAGAAGCCACAAGUUUCAAAGAAGGAGACUGAGGAGAAACCAAAAUGGAAGAAGGAGGCUGAAGAAAAGGCCAAAGCGAAAAUAGAGGAAAAAGCUAAGCCCAAGGAGGUCGUGGAAGAAAAGCCCAAACCAUCCUUUUUACGUGAUAGGAAAGAACCAGCAAAGCAACAGAAUGGAGAUGACACCUCUGCUAAAUUCAAGAAACCUGAGAAGCCAUUCGGUCGUGUUGGGCUGUGCUCUCCUGAGGAAGAAAAGCAGGACCCCAAGGCGAAGCAGGAAGCCGAGCGCAAGCUGGUGGAGCUGAAGCGCCGGAGGAACGAGACAGAGAGUGAGGAGUUUGAGAAGAUGAAGCAGAAACAGCAGACUGCUGAGGCUGAACUCGAGGAACUGAAAAAGAAGAGAGAGGAGAGGAAGAAGAUCCUGGAGGAGGAGGAGAAGCAGAAAAAACAGGAACUGGCAGAGAAGAAGGCCAAAGAGGAGCAAGAGAGGCAGAGGAUGAAAGAGGAGAUUGAACGCAGGCGAGCCGAAGCAGCUGAGAAGAAACGGCAGAAAGAGGAAUCCACCGAAGAGAGCAAGAUGCCAUUCAAAUGUGUCUCUCCUAAAGGAGCCUCUGCAAAGAUUGGCGCAAAAGCUGAAUUUUUGAGCAAAUCGGCCCAAAAAACGGCAGUUAAGGCACCACACACCCCAAUUGUGUGCAAGAUAGGUAACAGGCUGGAGCAAUACACAUCUGCAGUUCAGACUAAGGAUGUGAAGUCCCCCAAGUCUCCUGUUAAGGACCUGCCUGUGGUGGAGGGGGUGCGCAACAUUAAGAGCAUGUGGGAGAAGGGCAAUGUGCAGAAUUCUCCUGCUCCAGGUCCUGUUGCUUCCCCUGCCGUCACCAAGGAAACAGCUGGGCUGAGCAUUGGCGUGGCAGGACGCAUCAACAGCUGGAAGACCAAAACUCCAGAGACAAAGACCCCCGAAACAAAGCCCGCUGAGACUAAGCCUGCUGAGACUAAACCCCCAGAGACAAAGACCCCAGCGCCAGGGAAACUUGCAGGAGGCAAACCUGAACCGAAGCCGACUGAUGUUUCAAAAGCACGUGGCAUGUGGGAAACCAAGGGCUCUUCCUCCCCUGCAAAGCAAAAGCACUGACACAAAGCCCAGUAUCUGGAUGAAAGGUAAACACAGUGUUUGCAGUCAAGAGUAAAUCAGUCACAAAUGGAACAAGGAAAUAAGCACCGAUAAAUGGCCCCUCAUGAAGACAGAACAAGAUUGCUGCAUACAGUGUGUAUGUUUUAUACGUAAAUGUCACAUUUGCAUACCAAAAGGAAUCAAUGUGGUUGGAAAGAUGAAACUACUUAAUGUGUUUUUUUUUAUUGGAUUGGACAAAAUAACAAUAGCAUUAUAAUUCCUGUGUAUUUCUUUCUUGUACUAGUCAAUAAUCGAGCUGACACCCAGGCUACGUUCAGUCCUGGUUUAUGAAGUAGAGUUAAUUCCCCUGGACAAAUUUCUUUGUAUAACAAAAGAAAUGUAGGGAUGUAGCUUGUUGUAUUUUGUGUAAUUUUGGCACAUCUGGACUUGAUGUUUCAGUGGUAACCACCAGUCUGUAAAGAUACUUCGCUUCAGUAUGGUACACCUUCAUUACAAAUUGGAGUGACCUUAUUGUUUUGCUUUCUGAAGUCAUGAUCUCUGCUAGCACAGCACAUUAGAGCACAGCUUAACUAUGCGCUUUUACACCCAGCUUUGUGUUCAGCAUAUUAAAAACAUGGCAGCAACAUGAUCCACUUUAAUAAG